AAAAUGAUGAGUUAAACCUCUAAUUUCACGUGAACUACAUCAUAUCCCAUUUGGAAUAAAAGUCCAGAUAUCGAGAGAGAAAAAAGCAAUCGAUUUAGUGUGGAAUCACCUUUUGUUUUGUAUUACUAAGAUAAUAUUCCUUAAUUACUUUAGCUUCAACAGCAAUAGCUUCAUGACGUUCACAUAAUAAGCUAACAAUACAAUUUGCUGUCUGUGGUGGAGUAUAAUUUUCAUCAUUAAAAUUUGAUGGGAAAUUAGGAUUUAAUAGGUCCUUCCUGUUAGCCAACAAAGCAUUGCUAUAUAUAAGAUCGCAACACACUAGGAGAAGAUGGUGUACAAGGCAUUGCUUUGUGUCUCCUUGAUCUUGGUGGCCUUGAAAUAUCAUCUACAGGAUCUUUAAAUAUGUCAGUAAAGAUUGGCUGAUACUUUUUGAAUAUAACCAUUGACACUGCAAAGUUCCCUUCAAGUUUC